GUCUGCCGGCUGUGAGACGAGUCAGAAACCGUUGAUGUAGGCGAAGGACAUGCGAAAGGUCCGGCGUAGAGGGUAAGACCCCCGUAGCUGAAACAUCAGCGGCUUGUUUGAGAGACACCCAAGUAGCACGGGGCCCGAGAAAUCCCGUGUGAAUCUGGCGGGACCACCCGCUAAGCCUAAAUAUUCCCUGGUGACCGAUAGCGGAUAGUACCGUGAGGGAAUGGUGAAAAGUACCGCGGGAGCGGAGUGAAAUAGUACCUGAAACCGUGUGCCUACAAGCCGUGGGAGCGUCGCGCAUCGAGCUUGCUCGGUGCGUCGUGACUGCGUGCCUUUUGAAGAAUGAGCCUGCGAGUUAGCGGUGUGUAGCGAGGUUAACCCGUGUGGGGAAGCCGUAGCGAAAGCGAGUCCGAACAGGGCGUUUGAGUUGCACGCUCUAGACCCGAAGCGGAGUGAUCUAGCCAUGGGCAGGUUGAAGCGGAGGUAAGACUUCGUGGAGGACCGAACCCACCAGGGUUGAAAACCUGGGGGAUGACCUGUGGUUAGGGGUGAAAGGCCAAUCAAACUCCGUGAUAGCUGGUUCUCCCCGAAAUGCAUUUAGGUGCAGCGUCGUGUGUUUCUUGCCGGAGGUAGAGCACUGGAUAGGCGAUGGGCCCUACCGGGUUACUGACCUUAGCCAAACUCCGAAUGCCGGUAAGUGAGAGCGCGGCAGUGAGACUGUGGGGGAUAAGCUCCAUGGUCGAGAGGGAAACAGCCCAGAGCAUCGACUAAGGCCCCUAAGCGUACGCUAAGUGGGAAAGGAUGUGGAGUCGCAGAGACAACCAGGAGGUUGGCUUAGAAGCAGCCACCCUUGAAAGAGUGCGUAAUAGCUCACUGGUCAAGUGAUUCCGCGCCGACAAUGUAGCGGGGCUCAAGCGUACCGCCGAAGUCGUGUCAUUCAUACACAUAUCCUUAACGGGAGUAUGGAUGGGUAGGGGAGCGUCGUGUGCCGGGUGAAGCAGCCGCGGAAGCGAGUUGUGGACGGUUCACGAGUGAGAAUGCAGGCAUGAGUAGCGAUACACACGUGAGAAACGUGUGCGCCGAUUGACUAAGGGUUCCUGGGUCAAGCUGAUCUGCCCAGGGUAAGUCGGGACCUAAGGCGAGGCCGACAGGCGUAGUCGAUGGACAACCGGUUGAUAUUCCGGUACCCGCUUUGAAACGCCCAGUACUGAAUCAGGCGAUGCUAAGUCCGUGAAGCCGGCCCGAUCUCUUCGGAGUUGAGGGUAGUGGUGGAGCCGAUGAACCAGACUUGUAGUAGGUAAGCGAUGGGGUGACGCAGGAAGGUAGUCCAGCCCGGGCGGUGGUUGUCCCGGGGUAAGGGUGUAGGACGUUGUGUAGGCAAAUCCGCGCACAUGUGUCUGAGACCUGAUGCCGAGCCGAUUGUGGUGAAGUGGAUGAUCCUAUGCUGUCGAGAAAAGCCUCUAGCGAGUUUCAUGGCGGCCCGUACCCUAAACCGACUCAGGUGGUCAGGUAGAGAAUACCGAGGCGUUCGGGUGAACUAUGGUUAAGGAACUCGGCAAAAUGCCCCCGUAACUUCGGGAGAAGGGGGGCCAUCACUGGUGAUCCGAUUUACUCGGUGAGCUGGGGGUGGCCGCAGAGACCAGCGAGAAGCGACUGUUUACUAAAAACACAGGUCCGUGCGAAGCCGUAAGGCGAUGUAUACGGACUGACGCCUGCCCGGUGCUGGAACGUUAAGGGGACCGGUUAGCUGCCUUUCGGGGUGGCGAAGCUGAGAACUUAAGCGCCAGUAAACGGCGGUGGUAACUAUAACCAUCCUAAGGUAGCGAAAUUCCUUGUCGGGUAAGUUCCGACCUGCACGAAUGGCGUAACGACUUCUCGACUGUCUCAACCAUAGGCCCGGUGAAAUUGCACUACGAGUAAAGAUGCUCGUUUCGCGCAGCAGGACGGAAAGACCCCGGGACCUUUACUAUAGUUUGAUAUUGGUGUUCGGUUCGGCUUGUGUAGGAUA
rnacentral:rRNA from 1 species